GGGGGUGACUUGGUUUCGACUGGAGCAGUCGGGGCUAUGUGCAUGUCGGACUGGGCAAUUCCGUUACGCGGCCCAACGCGAAUAAACGCAAACAAUACAGAUUACCGUCCAGCUUACGCAGCAGCGUAAGUUUUAACUAACUUUGGACUGCCCUGCCGGUGAGUGUCAUCUUAACCGGAUUCUGGGUAUCACAAUCUGAUGACUAUAUCUAACGGAAGCCAUGCCGUUAGACGAACCCUCUGGCUGGCGUUGUGUAGCUUUGGGUGCUGUGCAAAGCAACGCGAGACCUAACAACACCAUCUAAGCAUGUAGAGUCAUGGUCCUAGCUGUUUCAGGACAGGGGUUCAAUUCCCCUCACCUCCACCA
rnacentral:tmRNA from 1 species